rnacentral:lncRNA from 1 species
UCGAUCUUGAAUCUGUCGCCGUGAUCUUCCGAAAGGCCUGCCGAGUAGCCGGAGCGAGCCUCACCGACGGCAUCCAGGGAGCCGACUAUGGCCGCUGGCCGCCUGGCGGCGAUCGCCGGAUGGCUCCACUACUAACCAAACCGUUAUUUAAGAUGCAUGGGAGAAGAUGACUGUAUAUUUCCAUUCAGCUAUUCUACAAGUCCAACAAGAUCUCAAUGAAAAUAUGUAAAGAGCUUACUGUCCUCAAUAGAA